rnacentral:rRNA from 1 species
UACGUAGGGCGCAAGCGUUGUCCGGAAUUAUUGGGCGUAAAGAGCUCGUAGGCGGCCAGUUGCGUCUGCUGUGAAAUCCCGGGGCUCAACCCCGGGCCUGCAGUCGAUACGGGCAGACUAGAGUGCGGUAGGGGAGACUGGAAUUCCUGGUGUAGCGGUGAAAUGCGUAGAUAUCAGGAGGAACACCUGUGGCGAAAGCGGCUCACUGGACCAUAACUGACGCUGAUGCACGAAAGCUAGGGGAGCAAACAGG